ensembl:lncRNA
UUUUUUUUUUUUGCAAAUAAAUCUUAUCACUUCCUUAGAAACACAGCACAGAAUGUGCAGAUGAGCAAUUUUUUUCCAAUCCAAAAAUCAAAUUAAUUUAUUAAAUAAGUUAAUGGAAGAAAAAAAACAAAGGCUACUUGUAAAAAUCUUAAGUAAACACAGAGCUUUUUUCUCUUUCUUUAAUAGGUAAAUGGCACAAAACACAGCCAGGGUACAGUCACAGUGUGUAAUCAUGGUCAUGAAAUGCCUACAAUGUAAAUGGACUUAAUGACAAAAUUAAACAAAUCUCAAUUAAAAGCACAAUAAUUCCAGACAGGCAAAACCCAUCACUCUCCCAGCUUCCCACUAAGUAGAUCUCCAAGCAUGGAAAGGUUGCCAGCUAUGGGGAACAGUUUAGAAAGUUAAUGACAGCACAAAUGGGAUUGACUGGAGACUGUAAUCCUGGCUCUGUAAGCAUUGCCAGAGGCCUGACAUGAAGGAACAAGUACUAUUUCGAGCAGACUGCAAAGCCAAGGCAAAGAUUAACAUCUGUCAGGAUCAGCUACAGAUGAGAUUCUUAUUGAUCCUUGAAUGUCACAAGAAUUUAGAAGGGCUCAAAAGAACUUUAAAGAGAAUAAUCAAGUUUCUGUGGAUUUGGUUUGUAAAUCUGAAGUACCUUUCCCACAUUUCAGCUAUUUUUUCUCAAACAGCUGUGUGUGAUGUAGUUCAGUGCUACAAGGCAGAAGAGCAAUUUCUUCCAACUUAGUCAGUGUCAAGCUUAGUCUUGCAGGAAAAGCAGUGGCAGGGAGCAGUUCUGGUGCUGUUACCAACCUCCAAGACAGCUUUUUGUGUUUGGACUGUGUUGCUGUGGAUUUUGUUUCUGCCUCAUCCGUAUCUAUCCUUACUAACAAGAUUAAGGCUUUGCUCACAUUCUUCUAAUUAAAAUGCUGUAAUUCUGAGAAGAGAUUCCACGUCUUCUUUUAGCAGGGCAAUCAGUACAUCUGUGAGUUCAAGUUACUAUUUUUUAACAUCAAAGCUUGCACAAAGAUAGCUCUUUUCCAUGCAGGCCAUGACUUUUUAUCCACUCUGGUUUGAAUAACAGGCUCCAUUUUGUAGUGGGAUCAAUAUCAUGUCCUACAAGGAAAGGGUGGGAGAGCUGGGAAUGCUCAGCCUGGAAGAGAGAAGGUUCCAGGGAGACAUAACAGCCCCUUCCAGUGCCCAAAGGGCUCUGAGAGAGACUUUGGACAGCCUGAAGUGACAGGACAAGGGGAAUGGCUCCCACUGCCAGAGGGCAGGGCUGGAUGGGAUAUUGGGAAUUAGGAAUUGCUCCCUGUGAGGGUGGGCAGCCCUGGCACAGGGUGCCCAGAGCAGCUGUGGCUGCCCCUGGGUCCCUGGCAGGGUCCAAGCCAGGCUGGACAGGGCUUGGAGCAGCCUGGGAUGGUGGAAGCUUUCCCUGCCAACCAAAGGCUGCAAACAUCUUGUCCUGUCAGGAGCACACGUGCAUUUUUCAGCAGAAUUUUUUCCUUAUCAAACUGGAAGAAGCAUGAUCUGAAUGGAGCAGGCCCAGGGAAGGGGACGGUGCUGGGGAAGGGGCUGCAGCACCAGGAGGGGCUGAGGGAGAUGGGAAAAAGGCUCAGCUUGGACAAAAGGAGGCUCAGGGGGAAUUUCUGGCUCUGCACAACUCCUGACAGGAGGGAACAGUCAGAGGGGUCGGGCUCUGCUCCAGGAAACAGGGACAGGAGGAGAGGGAACGGCCUCAGGCUGAGCCAGGGGAAGAUUGGAUAUUAGCGAAAAUUUCUUCACUUCUUCACUGAAGCCAUUGCCACAGGCUUGCCAAGGCACUGGUGGAGUGGAAUAUCUGGAAAUGUUAAAAAAACCAUGUAGAUGUGGUGCUUGGAGACAUGGUUUAGUGGUUUCAGAAGCCCCUCCUGCCCUCACUCCUUCCCCCUAUUUUCUCUGAGGUUGUGACACAGCACUAUGAGACAGUUUUGUUUAAUCAGCUUCUGCAAGUCUGUUUUGGUGAAUGUAGGUUGAGGAGACUCAUUACAUCAGUUUAAUCUCCCAGUCCAAGAGUUCCCACAUUUAAUCCACUGAUUGUUCUCACUGUGGAAAUGGGAAAAAAAAUAUUAAUAUCUAAUAUAAUAAAAGUUAACGAGGAAACUAAUAUGCUGGUAAACACAGGAACAGUAAUCUUCUAAUCCUGGCUUACUUUUAUAGGAAUUCCCUAAUUUCCAAGUCCACACAACAGGGAAGUCAGUGAGCCCCACAGAAAGAUGAAGUAUGAGUAGUUCAGAGAUGUCCAAUGCUAUCAGUGAUAGCACUGUGCUGCAAUUCAGGGAUUCAGAGCUGUCCAGACUCAGAGCAGGGCCAAAGAGAGUUCUAGAAAAUAUGGUAGAAACACUAAAGGGCAGUUUAAAGGAAAAAGAGGCAUCUUUCCCAUUAUCAUUUGUACUGAAGCAAAAAUGCUUUCAACCACCAGAUGAUGCCAGAAAAUGUAAAGACCCUUCAAAUCCUCCUCACAUGAGCGAGUUGCCAAACACAUUUAUAAGAGCUGCUGAGACUGCCAGGUCAGUCCAACUCCCUGUUUCCUGUUCUUAAGCAAAGGUUGCUGAACUUCAUUUAAACUUCUUUGCUCUCUGUUCUGUGCUUGAAGGAUUCCCACAGCACAGGACAGGAUCUGAUCUUUCCUUUACAGACACUCUUCUGCUGAGCUGUCCUUUUGCACAGAGGGUCUGUGUGGCCAGGGGAGCUGUUCAAAGACAUUUAUUCCAGAGACAGCUGCAGGCUCCCAGCAAGGGAGGACGUCCUACAUGCUGCAUCAUUCACUGCUCUGCGUGUUAAACCCUUCAAGCUUUGUGUGAGGUGAGGAUAUUCCAGAGCUGUCAGGCUCCAGAGGUUCAAGAUCCAGACAAACAAACCCCUUCCCACAUUGAAAUGUCACCUUAAAUUUCAUUUCACCUUAAAUGGCUGAGCAGGGAAUAAAAACCUCCUAUCUUAAAACAUCCACAGCAGCUGCCUCCCCUCAGACUCUGACAUAAUACAAAGAUGGAAAACUCCUACUCCCCACUGCCGGCUGGGUCUGUGCCCAGCAGCCCAGCUGAAAUAUGGCCCCAGUUCAAACUGUCUCUGCUCUCUGGGAGCAUGAGCAGAUUUGUCGUGCAGCAGCUGCCUGACACACUCGGGAUGCUGAGAGCUGAAGUUUGGGCUGUGCUUCUCUGGCCUGGCAGGUUUGGUGCUGGGGUGGCAUCUGAAGGAGAGCUGAGAUUCUCAGAGCAUAGGAAUGAAGUAACACCUAAAUGAAUCUCUCUGCUAACUCAGCACAAGGAAACACUACUUGGAUUAGUUUCUCUGCAUAUAUAUUUUGUUGCUUAUGUACAGAAUCCCUCCCAUUUUGUUACCACCCGUCUUUAGAGUAGCCAGCAGUUGUCUGGCAUUGUGAGUUAAUGCAGCAAUGAGUUAAAACAAUCACACAGCAAGGAGUAAAUACCUUCCACAGCAGAUGAAAGCCAAGAUGCUGAAGAGGUCCCACGUGUGCUGCAGAGAAGGCAGUGUGGGGCAGCAGCUCUGAGGCAGCUGGACUCAAUGUGUGACAGGAGAAGGCAGGAGCCUUGCAGAUAAAGGAGUCAGAAAGCACGUGGAGCAGCACUUGGAGCUGGAGAGGAAACAAAACAGAGGAUGUCAACACAUAGGCAUGAGCAGGGGCAGGAGUGAGAGAGCCAGAGAACAGAUUUUUAGGGAUGGCUGUCUCUCCUGCUGCUUUUUAAUCCGUCCACUCCAUAAGGAAAGGUACAGAAAAGGGUUUUGGUAAAGACAGAAGGAGCUGGUACACACAUGGAUUACAAACACUGGCAAAACCACUCUUGUUUUUCUGCCACUUGAGGCAUGCAGACACUAAAAUACAAUGAACAAAUAAGGACAAUAAGGCAAAUAAAAGCACGUGAAGAAAUAGGAUCAGUUUCCCAAACAUCCUGAACACUUGUGCUUUGCAGUGGCUUACUCUGCUGCCAAGGAAUCAAGAUGAUCUCUCAGGCUGAGCUCAGAAAAACAUACAGGGGAAAAUAUAGGUACGGAGCAUUUUGCAUGGUGUCAACACACUUCCACAGAAAGCAGGUUUUAAUCCUCAGUACGUGCUGAGUACAGACAUACAAACUGUGAAAGCCCAGGGGUAAGAAUUCCAGCAGCAGAGUUUACAAACCAGCCCUGUUUCUUCAUGGAAAAUGAUGCAGCACCAUUGUCUGGAGUGCAGGAGCUGCAAGGUGGGACCCCCUUUGCUAGUUUUCUUCUUCUGACAUUAGAAGGAAUAUCUGAAAGGUUUAAGCAAUUGUAAAAACCUCAUGUUUUUCUUGGUAAACUACCCCAGAUGACAGGAGACUCCUAUUUCUCCUGCAAGAACUACUUGUGCUUGCAGAGAACAUUACAAGAUGACACUGCAAUCUGAUAACUCAGUGUUUCUGUGGUUUACUUUGUUUUAUUUGGUGGUGUUUCCAGAUUUUUUUGUGGAAAUUUCUACCCUGUUUCUUAGGAGGUUUUACCCUCUCAUUUCAAAACUACACCACAUCUAAGAGGUUCCUGCUGUGCAGGGAAAGAAAACCCUUUUUUCCACCUCUUUGGUAACUAAAUUUUUAAGCCACCAGCAAGUAGCAAAAACACUUCAAAGCUGAAAGUUUUUCUUGCACCCAACUAAAGUAUUCGCUCAGUUUAGAUUUAACACUAAGAUUGUUACUUAAUAUAUUUUUAUUGUUAUAAUAUAUUACUAUAUCACUAUUUAUUUACAUCUGCUCAGUUUAAAACCCACUGUAUUUCACACCUCUGUAGUGGAGUGCUUAGGAAUUCUGAAGAAAUUGUUUUGAACUCAAUUUCAAAUGGGAAAGGCAGGUGGAGUACAAGGGUUUGAGCAUUACAACACCUUUACAAUCUGCAGAAAAAACUCAGGCUUUGAAAUGAGCAGACAAACAAAUAUCUGCCCAAAUCUUGAAGAUCACAUCUUGUACAGCAGGACACAAAGCUUAUGUCCAGUUGUCCAGAAAAUACAGAAAUAUAGUUCUCAAAUGUAUAGCAUAUGUUAAAGAAUACAUAAAUCAAACAGCUAAUGAGCAACAGCCCAAUGAUUCAGGUUUUUUGUACACAAAAUUCACCUUGGGGUAUGUUGGUUUAAGGAAAAAUAUUAACAUUUUUCUGUAGUUCAAAGUAUCAUGCCUGUGCCUUGUGAGUUAUAGUAAGAAGGGCACAGCAUGACUGUGACUGGUCUGGGGUCAAUAUCCAUUUCCCGCUGCAAUAGAAAUAAGGAAUUUGAUUUCUAAAGGUGUCAUUUUAGGGAUUUUUGACAUGAUUUUCCUAUUGUAAUGUAAAAUAAGAGAGGGCAAUCAUUAUUCAGUUCCUAAGAAGGCAAUUGAAUUCUUUAGGUCUCAUGAAAGUAAAAUAGAUUUAAGAAUGGGAAGGAAUAUCCUAGAAAUUUUAAAAAAAUACCAAAAGGAGGUGGGCAGUGGAGAAGAGGAACAUUGCUACUGCUUGGCAGGAAUCCUGUGUUAUUCUUUGGGUUCUUCACAUGCUACAGAAGUAAAUUCUACUGACCAUAAGCGAGUGGGGAGGAUCAUUUUAUUAAGUGUUUGUAAAACCACCCGACAUUUCUGGAUGGAAAAAUCCUACACAAGCAAAGCAAUAUUCCAUUCCAGUAUUGACUGUUUCUUCCCUAUCUCAGCACUCUGAGUGAACACAAGAGCACCUCCACGUCAUAAGAUUUAAUUUUGUAGAUUUUUGUCUAUGUCCUUAAGGGUUUUUUAAAUGGAAAAAAAAAA